AGGUGUACGUCACGCAUCAGACCU
rnacentral:rRNA from 1 species